rnacentral:rRNA from 1 species
UAUAGUUCUUCGGAGCUAGAGACCGGCGCACGGGUGCGUAACGCGUAUGCAAUCUACCUUUUACAGAGGGAUAGCCCAGAGAAAUUUGGAUUAAUACCUCAUAGCAUUAUGAUAUGGCAUCGUAUUAUAAUUAAAGUUCCAACGGUAAAAGAUGAGCAUGCGUCCCAUUAGCUAGUUGGUGUGGUAACGGCACACCAAGGCUACGAUGGGUAGGGGUCCUGAGAGGGAGAUCCCCCACACUGGUACUGAGACACGGACCAGACUCCUACGGGAGGCAGCAGUGAGGAAUAUUGGACAAUGGGCGCAAGCCUGAUCCAGCCAUGCCGCGUGCAGGAUGAAGCAUCUAUGGUGUGUAAACUGCUUUUGUACAGGAAGAAACCCUCCCACGUGUGGGAGAUUGACGGUACUGUAAGAAUAAGGAUCGGCUAACUCCGUGCCAGCAGCCGCGGUAAUACGGAGGAUCCAAGCGUUAUCCGGAAUCAUUGGGUUUAAAGGGUCCGU